AGUGAACGCUGGCGGUAGGCCUAACACAUGCAAGUCGAACGGCAGCACAGUAAGAGCUUGCUCUUACGGGUGGCGAGUGGCGGACGGGUGAGGAAUACAUCGGAAUCUACUUUUUCGUGGGGGAUAACGUAGGGAAACUUACGCUAAUACCGCAUACGACCUACGGGUGAAAGCAGGGGAUCUUCGGACCUUGCGCGAUUGAAUGAGCCGAUGUCGGAUUAGCUAGUUGGCGGGGUAAAGGCCCACCAAGGCGACGAUCCGUAGCUGGUCUGAGAGGAUGAUCAGACACACUGGAACUGAGGCACGGUCCAGACUCCUACGGGAGGCAGCAGUGGGGAAUAUUGGACAAUGGGCGAAAGCCUGAUCCAGCCAUACCGCGUGGGUGAAGAAGGACUUCGGGUUGUAAAGCCCUUUUGUUGGGAAAGAAAAGCAGCAGGUUAAUACCCCGCUGUUCUGACGGUACCCAAAGAAUAAGCACCGGCUAACUUCGUG
rnacentral:rRNA from 1 species